rnacentral:rRNA from 1 species
CUUUACUGUAACCUGGAAUUGGGUUCGGGCUCUUCUUGCGCAGCCUAGGUGGGAGGCGUUGAAGGUUUUCUUUCGGGGAAACUGGAGCCAACAGUGAGAGACCACUCUGGAGGAGCUAGAAUUCUAAUGGCGUUCCUUGAAGCAGGACGCUUGACAGUUUCAGGUGGGCAGUUUGACUGGCGGUCACCUCCUAAAAGGUAACGGAGGUGUGCAAAGGUUCCCUCAGGCUGGACGGAAAUCAGCCGGAGAGUGUAAAGGCAGAAGGGAGCUUGACUGCAAGACCUACAAGUCGAGCAGGGGCGAAAGCCGGCCUUAGUGAUCCGACGGUUCCAUGUGGAAGGGCCGUCGCUCAACGGAUAAAAGUUA